CAGACUGGUUGCUGAGUAGGCAAUCAACAAUGACCCCCACACUGCCUCCCAGGGUUAUCAAGAAGAUUAAAUAAGAAAAUGCCUUUAAAGCACUUAGCACCGUGCCUCACACCUAUUAUUAAGCUUAUCUGUGUUGUUAGUGGGAGCCAACUGAGUGCAGGGAACUGCUAAAUUGGUUUCCAAAGGAGAACAGAGAGUCCUGGCAGGAUAGAUUUUUCUUUCUUUCUCUUUUUGUUUGGUACAGUUAAAAGAGAAAGAGUAUAAAUAUUCUUAACCAUUUGCCAGCUGUCAGGUGCCUUGAAGACAGACUCAGAAACUAAUGCAAUCAUAAGGCAGUGCUUGAGAACAUUCACCACCACCACCUCAAAUAGUAAUAGAUGCAAACAAAUGAAAUGACUGAUCUUAAGGGAGUGUGAGGCUCAUGAAGCUUGAGUUUUGGAGGCCCUUACUUCUACCUUCCUAAGACCUGAGUGUAAGAGGAUAAUGUAUUUUAGGUGAUGUGUUUUCAAGUUACAGGGUCCGUUUUUUGAUGCGUUAGAUCAGGGGUUGGCAAACAAUAGCAUUUGAAGCAAACCUGGCCUGCUGUUGGUUUCCUAACAAUUUUAUAAUGGUGAUUAAAUCUUUUUUUUCUUGAGGAAGACCACUCCAAAAUCACAUCAACUGGAAUCCCUGAUGUGACUUUCUCCUUUGAGUACAAACCCAAACUCACAGAGGUUAGUUUGGAGGGACUCCAGCACCACGCCACUCCCUUUAGUAGACUGGAUGUCAUCGGCAUCUCACCUCCCAGUGGUGUUCAGCAAAAAUGUCUCCCCGUCAACCCAGGAGAAUGACAGCUGUAACCAAAUGCUUCCUCCGUCCUUGUCAAGAGUCAGCUGGGGCAGGAAGGCAGCCAGCUUGAGCAAAAGGGAGAGCUCACACUCGGGAGAUGGGAGCACCUCGCCGAACCUAAAGACCUCAGGAGGGUCCAGAAGUGGAAAGCCAUCAGAAACACAGAACGGAUCUGCAUUUCAAGAGCAUCUUGGCUCAGUUUCUGUCUGCAAGUUGCAUGCCUCCUUUCUCUCUCCAGCUUGACUCCCUGUGCUCCUGGACCACCCCAGGAACUGUGGCAGCUUCAGAGCUCAGUCCUAGCCACACAGAGUCUUUCUCUCAACCUCUCUGUGUGCCUGGUAGUGGAGGAAGGGUGGCCACGGAUGGUUAGGCAGGUUCCACCUUGCACAAGGGCCCCUGAGCAAUGAAGCCCCUGGAGGGUUGAACCCUAGUCCCUCCUGUGUUUAUCAAGCCAUUCAUUAAGGGUGAGGCUGCAUCUACCCACUGGGAAGGUCUUCCUCUAAUUCUGCAAAGCUGUUGGAUGGAUUAGUGAUACCCAGAGCAAACUUUUCUCUGAACUCAUCCUCCAACUGCGGCCCUUGAAUUUAAAGGAAAUUCUCUUUCUCCACUACUUGCAGCUUGACUGAGCUUGUUGAUCGAGGUACCAAAGGAUGUGAAAACUGAAGCCUGGGGAGGAGACUCAACGUGCUCAGGACCACCCAGGUGUUAAGGAGUGGCGCUUGGAUCUGGAGUCAAGCAGCCUCAAAGUGUCCAGAAUUCACAUUCUUCUUUAGUCUCAGUUCCAAAUUCCCCAGAAAAGGAUUCCACUUGGCCUUAAUGAGUCAGAUAUACAACCUCAGUUCAGGGACUUCUCUGGUGGUCCAGUGGCUAAGACUCAGGGCUCCCAAUGCAGGGGGCCUGGGUGUGAUCCCUGGUCAGGGACGUAGAUCCCGGAUGCAGCAACUGAAAGAAAAAAAGAUCCUGCGUGCCCCAAGGAAGAGACAAGAUCCGUUGUGCCGCAGCUAAGACCUGGUGCAGCCAAAUAAAUAAAAAUAAUUUUUAAAAAAAGGGGGACCUACCCAUCUGCAUUUUUUAAAAAACACCCCAGGCGUUCUUGUGCUUAUUACGUUGAAAACUGCCCUCUCUUUGUAGCAAGCCUCUGAAGGGAGAAGAAAAUUGCAGUCUUUGGGAUGUCCUGAGCAUCUUGGCGUAAGGCAGAUCAGUGGUAGGGACGGACAUGCCUGCUCUGUCUCCUUUCUGCCCCCGCUGCAGCCUGGCGCCCCUCUUAUGGCACAUGUGCAGAGCCGAGGCUGAGCCAUGGGUGUGAAUCAGCUCUUGGACUGCCCAGGAGUCAGUGAGUGUUUCUUGGUUUCUAGUCUGGCAGUUCAGUCCU